UUUCGGGGCUCCACUUAGCAAAAUUUCACUGUUACUUUCCGUUAGCAAAAAUAUUUUUUUACUUUUGAGUUAGCAAAAAGCUAAAUUUACUUGAUUUUAGUAAUGAAAAAGGUCAUUUUACUUGAUUUUAGUAAAACGAAGGUUUUUCAGCCGCUAUGUUCACAGACUCCAGCCGCCGCGCCAGUUGGGAGAAAAUUAAAAAGCUGUCGCGAUUAAGUGCGGUUCCGGAUGUUCGUUGCUGGUGGUUCUUGUUGGUGGGCAACUUCACGAAGAAACGGUAGCUAAAUCGACACCGGAUGCUUACAGGUUGAAAGUGGAACACGAAACCCGCAACAGUCCGGCAAUGAAGAAGGACCACAACUGGAAUUUCAACGAGCUGCAUCCGGAAAACACCCCGGUGCUUUCUUUGAUGAAGAUGGCAUGGCAUUUUGCUCGCCAGUAGGUGCGUUCCCAGGAUCGAACCUUCCGUUUAACGAAAAGUGUGAAAAAAAUUUAAAAAAUGUGAAAAUUAAAUUAUAAGUGAAUGUAA